rfam:Schistosoma haematobium scaffold2246_1, whole genome shotgun sequence.
AUUCGGUUGACGUGUCCCAAAUAUGACGAAACGCGCGUUAAACUGGAU